GUCUAUGGCCAUACCACCCUGAAUGCACCUGAUCUCAUAAGCUAAGCAGGGUCGGGCCUGGUUAGUACUUGGAUGGGAGACAGAUCUUCGAAGGAGACUGCUCAGGGACAAACAGUUUGGAGACAAGGCAUUAAAGCC
rnacentral:rRNA from 1 species